CGGUAACAGAUCCAGCUUGCUGGAUGCUGACGAGCGGCGGACGGGUGAGUAAUGCAUAGGAAUCUGCCCGAUAGUGGGGGAUAACCUGGGGAAACCCAGGCUAAUACCGCAUACGUCCUACGGGAGAAAGGGGGCUCCGGCUCCCGCUAUGGGAUGAGCCUAUGUCGGAUUAGCUAGUUGGUGAGGUAACGGCUCACCAAGGCCACGAUCCGUAGCUGGUCUGAGAGGAUGAUCAGCCACAUCGGGACUGAGACACGGCCCGAACUCCUACGGGAGGCAGCAGUGGGGAAUAUUGGACAAUGGGGGCAACCCUGAUCCAGCCAUGCCGCGUGUGUGAAGAAGGCCCUCGGGUUGUAAAGCACUUUCAGCGAGGAAGAACGCCUAGCGGUUAAUACCCGCUAGGAAAGACAUCACUCGCAGAAGAAGCACCGGCUAACUCCGUGCCAGCAGCCGCGGUAAUACGGAGGGUGCAAGCGUUAAUCGGAAUUACUGGGCGUAAAGCGCGCGUAGGUGGCUUGAUAAGCCGGUUGUGAAAGCCCCGGGCUCAACCUGGGAACGGCAUCCGGAACUGUCAAGCUAGAGUGCAGGAGAGGAAGGUAGAAUUCCCGGUGUAGCGGUGAAAUGCGUAGAGAUCGGGAGGAAUACCAGUGGCGAAAGCGGCCUUCUGGACUGACACUGACACUGAGGUGCGAAAGCGUGGGUAGCAAACAGGAUUAGAUACCCUGGUAGUCCACGCCGUAAACGAUGUCGACCAGCCGUUGGGUGCCUAGCGCACUUUG
rnacentral:rRNA from 1 species